GUGGGGGAUAUUGCACAAUGGGGGAAACCCUGAUGCAGCGACGCCGCGUGAAGGAAGACGUACUUCGGUAUGUAAACUUCUAUCAGCAGGGAAGAAGAUGACGGUACCUGACUAAGAAGCCCCGGCUAACUACGUGCCAGCAGCCGCGGUAAUACGUAGGGGGCAAGCGUUAUCCGGAUUUACUGGGUGUAAAGGGAGCGUAGACGGUGAAGCAAGUCUGAUGUGAAAACCCGGGGCUCAACUCCGGGAUUGCAUUGGAAACUGUUUUACUUGAGUGCUGGAGGGGCAAGCGGAAUUCCUGGUGUAGCGGUGAAAUGCGUAGAUAUCAGGAAGAACACCGGUGGCGAAGGCGGCUUGCUGGACGACAACUGACGCUGAGGCGCGAAAGCGUGGGGAGCAAACAGGAUUAGAAACCCUAGUAGUCC
rnacentral:rRNA from 1 species